GCCACCAUACUGCAAAGUGUACAAGAGACACCUCGAGCUGUAUGUCUCCCAAUGUGCUGAUUGGUGGGUACUUAUUCCUCUAGAACAACAGGUGAUCCGACAGAAACUUCUAUGCUCUCCAUACAUCCCUGACAGGAUAGAGAGAGGACAGGAUGUUGACAUUCAUCUUCAUGUUCAUGCCAACCUACCAGGGAUGGAAGAGGAAAUUAAAAGGCAGGAGGAAAAACGGUUGUACAGGAAGGCUCAUCCUUCAGUUCCAAUCAACAUUGCGACAAAAUCGAGUGAUGUUAGUGUGGCGUCCUUUCGUGAUGAUGGAAAUGAAAGCAGCAGAGUUCUUCUCUUAAAAGACAUUCAAAGCAAACUGAAACACAUGAUCGUUCUACCAAUGACAUCACGUGAUGAGGAUCAAGAUUUCCCGGUUACUAUCAUGAUAACGCAGAGUGGAAAAAACGAUAUUUCAAUAUCUCUUGCCUUUGUCAUCAGA